rfam:Microgenomates (Daviesbacteria) bacterium GW2011_GWB1_36_5 TS19_C0010, whole genome shotgun sequence.
ACUCAACAAUAAGGCGUACGGUGGAUGCCUUGGUCGAAAGUACCGAAGAAGGACGUAUUAGGCUGCGAUAAUUUGCGGGGAGCUGCCAAAAAGCUUUGAUCCGCAAGAUUCCGAAUGGAGUAAUCCCCCCGAUUUAUCGGGGACUGUUAACUGAAUUCAUAAGUUAACGGAGGGUACGUGCCGAACUGAAACAUCUAAGUAAGCACAGGAAAAGAGAACAAAAGUUAUUCCCUAAGUAGUGGCGAGCGAAAUGGGAACAGUCUAAACCAUACACCAGGCAUUCGCGCAAGCGAAUGACCCGUAUGGGGUUGUGAGGCAACAGUAGCGACAAAUUUAACUAACAGAACAAGCUGGAAAGCUUGACCAAAGAAGGUGACAGUCCUGUAAGUAAAAGUUAAGUUUGCGUGGUUGAUCCCUCAAGUAGCUCAGGACACGAGUAAUCCUGGGUGAAUCCGGCAGGACCAUCUGCUAAGACUAAAUAUACUUUCGGACCGAUAGUGAACUAGUACCGUGAGGGAAAGGUGAAAAGAAGAGCGGAACGCUCAGUGAAAUAGUACCUGAAACCGUAUGCUGACAAGCAGCGAAAGUCCCGAUUUAUCGAGGAUGAUCGCGUGCCUAUUGAAGAAUGAACCGGUGAGUUAUUUGUUGUGGCAAGGCUAACCCGUCAAGGCGGGGAAGCCGUAGUGAAAGCAAGCCUUAAAAGGGCGAUUAGUCAUAACUUAUAGACCCGAAACCGUGUGAGCUAACCAUGUGCAGGGUGAAGGCCGCCGAAAGGCGGUUGGAGGCCCGAACCCGUAUCUGUGGAAAUAGGUUGGGAUGACAUGUGGUUAGAGGUGAUAUGCCUAGCGAACACGGAGAUAGCUGGUUCUCCCCGAAAUAUAUUUAGGUAUAGCCCUGUGUAAUAACAUUGGGGGUAGAGCUCUGGAUGGAUUUGGCGGCAGCAAUGUCGUCACUCCAAUCAAACUUCAAAUACCAAUGUUUUGUAGCAGGAGUCAGUCCGAUCCGGCUAAGCGGAGCGGUCCUGAGGGAAACAACCCAGAUCGUCAGUUAAGGUCCCUAAAUGCAAGCUAAGUGUUAAAGGAAGUUUAGUUCCUUAGACAGCCAGGAAGUUGGCUUAGAAGCAGCCACCUUUUAAAGAUAGCGUAACAGCUCGCUGGUCUACUACGGAAUUGAGCGCCGACAACGUAUCGGGGCUAAGCUUGCUACCGAAGCUACGAAUCUUGUCUGCAGGACAAGAAUUUUCAAUGAUCAAGUACCAAUUAUCAAUGAAUUUUCAAAAUUCAAAUGUUUCAAACAUUUGAAAAUUAAGAAAUUAAAAUUUUAUUGUAAAUUGAAAAUUGUAAAUUGGACAUUCUCGCCUUGCAGGCGAGGUGGUAGGGGAGCGUUCUAAAUGUUAUGAAGCUAAGCUGUGAGGCUUGGUGGAACGUUUAGAAGUGAGAAUGCCGGUAUGAGUAACGUAUGAAUGUGAGAAACAUUCAAGCCGAAAGCCCAAGGUUUCCGAUCCCAUGUUAAUCAGGGUCGGGUUAGUCGGUCCUAAGGUCAGGCCACGUUAGUGGAUUAGCCGAUGGACAACAGGUUAAAAUUCCUGUACUUUUUUAUGUUUGACAAGUUUUGAAGUUUUGAGAAAUCAAAAUCAGGAAGCCAUUAAGGAUGAACAGAGUAGGAAAAUCUUUGCCAGCUAUACGCUGGUACAAGCAACAAGUUAGUGGAGGCAGGCAAAUCCGCUUCUACAAGCUGUCAGUUACGCUGAUUUUAGUGAUCAGUUUGACUGGCUUUAGUCAGCUCAGCUGAUAGCUAAAAAAUACAAGUUGUGAUGUCGGAAGAAAGAGUUUUUCUGUUUUCAGGAAAAGAUUCGUAAUGGAAACAUAGAGAACCCGUACUAAAACCAACACAGGUGGGCGAGUUGAGUAUACAAAGGCUAUCGAGAGAACUAUCCUUAAGGAACUCGGCAAUAUAGCUGGACGUAAGUUAGCGAGAUGUCCUGCCCGUAGAAAUACGGGUUGCAAUAAAUGACGCUGAGCGACUGUUUAUCAAAAACACAGGUCCCUGCUAAUCUGAAAAGAGAUGUAUAGGGGCUGACACCUGCCCAGUGCCAGUAAAUUAAAAUUGGAGAUGACCUCUGAGAGUAAUCAAUGAGUGAGUUUCUGGUCUAAGUUCUGGUGAACGGCGGCUUUAACUAUAAGAGUCCUAUGGUAAUUCGUUGCUUUAGGAGAGUUAAACGUUUUUGGUGUUAGUGAUUUUUGAAUCUGACUAUAUGCUGGAAAAACUCAGUAUCCGACAGUACCAGUUAGAAGUGAGAAGUUAGAUGUAAGAAGAUGGAAAAAAGAAGUGAGAGGUGAGAUUUUUUAGUCCCACAUCCUAUUUCUAAAUCUACAUUCCCAUCGCACACUUCGCACAUCAAAUAUGGUGACAAUCUGUUCGGUGGAGUAAAUCAGCAGGGAAGAUUACAGCCUACCGCUGUAGAACCCUCAGAGACUAUACGUCAGACCUACUCUUUUUAACUUAAAGAAUUAGGAAGAUAUAGUCCGAACUGCUAAGCGAUUAGCAGAAGUGGCAAUUAACUCAGCCACAUUUAACAUAAAAAAAAGGAAGAGCGAAAUUCCUUGUCUGGUGAGUUCAGACCCGCACGAAUGGUAGAACGACUUAGCGACUGUCUUGAGGAUAGACUCGGUGAAAUUGCAAUGGCUGUGAAGAUGCGGCCUUCCCAUACUUGGACAAGAAGACCCCGUGGAGCUUUACUGGAGCUUGGCCCUGUUUUGAAAAAUUAAUUGUGUAGCGUAGGAGGGAGAUUCGUCGACAAUGAAACACCUCUCUUUUAAUUUUUCAGGACUAACCCUAAUCCUUAUAAAAACAGGAAAGGAGACAAGGUCUGGCGGACAGUUUUACUGGGGCGGUAGCCUCCAAAAUCGUAACGGAGGCGUACAAAGGUACACUUACCUCAUAAAGAAAUUGAGGUUUAAGCGCAAAAGUAUAUAGUGUGCUUGACUGCGAGACAAACAGGUCGAGCAGGUGCGAAAGCAGGUUUUAGUGAUCCUUAUUUACCUCAUGGGAGGGAAUAGGCUUAUCGGAUAAAAGCUACCCCGGGGAUAACAGGCUAGUCUUGCCCAACAGUCCACAAGGACGGCAAGGUUCGGCACCUUUUUAAAAACAUUGGGGUGCGGUGGAAGUAAUUCCAUUAGACUGUUAAACAAAAUUAGAAACUUCUUGAAACAAAAAUACUAGUCAAAAUCGGUGAACGCCUAGGCAGUAAUGCAAGGUCAACACCGAGGGAAGUCCGACGUAACGUCGGACCCUGUAACGACUUGUGCGAAAGCACAGAUAUCAGCUUGCGGAUAUUCCGGGUACUUAAACUGAUAUAUAAAACUAGCCCCCGAAGAACAUCGGGGUGAAGGUAUAGUCUGAUCCUGUGAGUAAUCACAGACAAAUUAAAAAGACAGCGAUGUCGGCUCAUCGUAUCCUGGGGCUGAAGUAGGUCCCAAGGGUCUGGCUGUUCGCCAGUUAAAACGGUACGCGAGCUGGGUUCAAACCGUCAAUUUGGCGGCUCCCGAAAGUAAUUUCGGGAUGCAUAAACUGACUCAUAUCGGAGAAGUCCUAGACACAGCAAACUGUCAUGUGCUAGGAUAAUUCCGAGGGAAGUCUGAAUCCUAAUGAAUAAAUUGUCCAAGUCUCAGAGUAGUUAUCUUGCUGGAUUUCUUGAUGCUGACGGUAGUAUUUAUGUUAAAUUAACAAAAAAUUCUACCUAUAAAUAUCGGUAUCAGGUAUCUCCAAAUAUAGUUUUCUACCAAUCUCAAAGUUCUAAAGUUUCCUUAAAGGAACUUCAUAAAAUAACCGGAAUAGGUUAUUUAAGAAAAAGAAAUGACGGGAUUGAAGAAUACAUAAUAGGAGAUAUAAAAUCCAUUAGAGAUUUUUUAAAUAAAAUAGAAAAAUUUCUAAUUUUCAAAAGAAAGCAGGCAUUCUUAAUUUAAAGGAGAAAAUUAGAUCUCCACAAGAAUUUUUAGAACUCUGUAGGCUUGUAGACCAAUUUAAGUUGUUGAAUUACUCCAAAAAGAGAACAAUUUUGAUGGAUGUAAUUAAACAAACUUUAAUUAAAGAAGGAUUCAUGACCCCGUAGAGACUUGACCUAUUUAGGUCAAAUAUGAGGUACCAGAUAAUCUGGAUUUAAACUCAUAUUAGAUGUCAGUCCCCCUACGUUACAGUAGGGGGGUGGUAUAGUCCAUACAGCUAGUAAUAGUUGAAUUAUAUGCGUGAGACAGGUUGGACUCUAUCCAGUAUGGGCGUUUGGAUUCUUGAAGGGAGUUGUCUCUAGUACGAGAGGACCGAGAUGAGGAAACCUCUAGUGUGCCGGUUGUACUUACAAGUGCAGCGCCGGGUAGCUACGUUUCUUUUUGAUAAGUGCUGAAAGCAUCUAAGCACGAAGCAGACCCUAAGAUGAGGAAUCUUUAAGACUCCUGGAAGACUACCAGGUUGAUAGGCUGGCGGUGUAAGAUCUGUGAGGAUUUUAGCCAACCAGUACUAAUAGUCAUAGUUGAGAUU